CAACUACUCCCUCUGUCCCAAAUUUCUUGUCUUAGAUUUGUCUAGAUACGGAUGUAUCUAAUACUAAAAUGUGACUUGAUACAUCUGUAUCUAGACUAAUCUAAGACAAGAAUUUUGGGACGGAGGGAGUACUUU
rnacentral:pre_miRNA from 1 species